GAAGAGUACAUGGGGAUGGAGAUAUUACUAAUAGGAAUAAUACACUGUAUAGAAUAUCAAUCCUUCUCAAUAUUCCCCAUAUUUAGGCUUAUAUCUGGAUUCUUUUCUCCUCUUUCCUCUUCCUUGGAAUGACUUGCACCCAUUAUAGUAGUUCUUCCAAACUGAUGCCCUCUGUAACUGAAUUACAAUUUCAUAACAUCCAGUUGGCAUGGCCAUGAAGCUAAAGAGUUAGUAGGAAUGGAAUCAUUUUAAUAUACCAAAGAAAGAUAAUGCAUUAUUUAUUAGAUUUCUUUUAUCCUGCCUUUAUUUCAUAAAUAACUCAAGGCAAUGAACAUAAUAUUCCCUCCUCCUCCCAUUUCCUCACAGCAACAAUCCUAUGAGAUGAGUUGGCCCAAAGUCACUUAGCUGGCUUUCAUGCCUAAGGUGGGACUGGAACUCACCACCAGUAGCACUUUAACUACUACACC